UACGUAGGGGGCAAGCGUUGUCCGGAAUCAUUGGGCGUAAAGAGCGUGUAGGCGGUUCGGUAAGUCGGCUGUGAAAACUCGAGGCUCAACCUCGAGACGUCGGUUGAAACCGUAAGGCUAGAGUCCGGAAGAGGAGAGUGGAAUUCCCGGUGUAGCGGUGAAAUGCGCAGAUAUCGGGAAGAACACCCGUGGCGAAGGCGGCUCUCUGGGACGGUACUGACGCUGAGACGCGAAAGCGUGGGGAGCGAACAGG
rnacentral:rRNA from 1 species